GCCCCAGUAGCUCAAUGGGAGAGCGUUGGUUUUUUUCAAAGGUGUCGGUUCAAAUCCGUCCUUGGGCA
rnacentral:tRNA from 1 species